GGGGAUCCAAGAUCUGAGAAGCGUACAUGGACGAGGAGUGGAAGCUGUCGAAGGAGAGAGGAAGAAUGGUGGUGGUGGCAGAGAGAGCAGGGUCCUUCCUGAAGGGGUCCACCAGCGCAAGGGAAGGGCGGCGGCGGAGGCGGCGGUCGACGCCCAGGUCGUUUACGAGCCGGUGCGUGCGUCUAGUCAAGGAGCAGCGAGGCAGGUUCUACAUCAUGCGCCGCUGUGUCACCAUGCUCAUUUGCUGGCGAGAUUACCCUUGACAUGUAGCAGUAGGAGUAGUAGGAUAAAUAUGUAUACACUUGUGAUCUUUCUCUUGGCAACAACAGGAAUCGAAGAAAGGAAAAGUAGCAGCCAAAAUAUAUAGACUAUUAACAUGCGUUCUUCUCUGUUCAUACUCUUCACCUUUGCUUUGGUCUGACUUUGGAUGGAUUUCUGAGGCAGCUGUGGUUGUUGUUCGUUACUCCGUUUCCUGCUUCACCGCAAACUGCAAUUAGCUGUGAGCUCAAAUCAGGGAAGGAGAAGAGAAGAGAGAGAGAGACUGUGCUCUACGGGGGCUACUCUUCUGGCAUCCAUUGGCGAUCCAGAAGAGGAUGGAAAGUUAAACUACUACAUUAAGGUAACUGGAAAAGGAUAUUUG
rnacentral:lncRNA from 1 species